CCCUAGUACGAGAGGACCGGGGUGGACGGACCACUGGUGUAUCAGCUGUCGACCAACGGCAUAGCUGAGUAGCCAAGUCUGGACGGGAUAAACGCUGAAGGCAUCUAAGCGUGAAGCCCCCCUCAAGAUGAGAUAUCCCCUCCUUCAAGGAGAUAAGAUCCCUUAAAGACGAUAAGGUAGAUAGGUUCAAGGUGUAAGUGCGGUAACGCAUUCAGCUGAUGAAUACUAAUAGAUCGAAGGUUUAUUCU
rnacentral:rRNA from 1 species